UACGUAGGUGGCAAGCGUUGUCCGGAUUUACUGGGCGUAAAGAGCGCGCAGGCGGUCGGAUUAGUCGCGUGUGAAAGCCCCCGGCUCAACUGGGGAGGGUCACGCGAUACUGUUCGACUCGAAGGCAGGAGAGGGAAGUGGAAUUCCCGGUGUAGUGGUGAAAUGCGUAGAUAUCGGGAGGAACACCAGUGGCGAAGGCGACUUCCUGGCCUGUUCUUGACGCUGAGGAGCGAAAGCAUGGGGAGCGAACAGG
rnacentral:rRNA from 1 species